rnacentral:misc_RNA from 1 species
ACCAGCAAAAGGCCAGUAGCUGUACCAGCGUGAUCUAUCACCAGAGAAUGUCAUUUGAUUGACCUGUAUUUUUCAUUCUUAUGUUAUUCACACGGUAGAUAAGCAGCUUAUUGCUAGCUUCAUGUUGUUGUCAGAUGUGCCAUCACUUCUUUGAUUGAUUUCUCUGAGGUUACAGAUGAGCUAAUAAGGAAUCAAGUCUGUGGCAAGAGUGCCGCUGGGUAUAUGUCGUGUACCAUAUAUCCUUUAUAGGGAUUCAAUAAUUCGAGCUCAUGUGAAGCUCUUUGUAACGAUCAAUAGUUCCAUUAAUAUUCAAUCAGGACCUUUUUUUUUUUUUUUUUCCUGAAAAAAAGAAAG